AUUGUUGACUUACAUGUGUCAGGGCAACAGUGCUAGGCUUCACUUCCACUAUGAACUACACAUGAACUAGCUUAAAGGACACUAGCUGUAGCUGUAGCUGUGUCCAAGAAAACACCUGUUUUGGGCGUGUGCUCAGAAAUUACAACAUUUUAACUUAAAAACAAAAAUAAGUGACCAUUUAGAGGGCCAGGUCAUUUCAAAGUUUUUGGACUGGGUUGGAUAGACAUUGGACCCAAGGUCCUAAAACAUUUGACCCUGUUCUGAAGCUUCAAACCAUCUGUGCAAAAAGAAAUAAAGACGAGACACAAAGAUCCUGAGGCGGAGGUUGGGCAUCUGGCUGAGGAACUGGGCCAAUUUGAUGGAGCAGUUGGCACAGGGAGACCAGGAGCAGAACCAGAAUAUGCAUUCCUAUUUCCACCUUCAUUACUCACCUCUACAUGGCAGCCAGUGCGAUUGCGGAGGUGUCCAAAGUCAAAGGUCAUGGAGUCGGGGCCCACUCGCCUCUUCACUACAAAGCAGAGUCUCUACCCCCAGCUGCCUGUAGCCAAUUUUCUUGAAGAAAACCUCCCCCACUUUAGAAGGGUAGGGUACAUGAGCAUACACCCUAUGUGCCCCCGUCCCCAUCUCUCUCUGCUCCAGACUCUGGACAAGCAGCCGAC